rnacentral:rRNA from 1 species
UUUUUUAAUUGAAAGCUGGUAUGAAUGGUUGGACGAAAUAUUAACUGUUUCAUAUAAAUUUUUAUUAGAAUUUUAUUUUUUAGUUAAAAAGCUAAAAUUUAUUUAAAAGACGAGAAGACCCUAUAAAUCUUUAUAUUUAAUAUUUUUAUAUUUUUGUAGAUUUAUUUUAUUAUAAUAAUUAAUAAUAUUUUAUUGGGGUGAUAUUAAAAUUUACAAAACUUUUAAUUUUAAAAAUCAUUAAUUUAUGAAUAUUUGAUCCAUUAUUAGUGAUUAAAAAUUUAAGUUACUUUAGGGAUAACAGCGUAAUUUUUUUGGAGAGUUCUUAUUAAUAAAAAAGAUUGC